GACGAACGCUGGCGGCGUGCUUAACACAUGCAAGUCGAACGGAAAGGCCCUGCUUUUGUGGGGUGCUCGAGUGGCGAACGGGUGAGUAACACGUGAGUAACCUGCCCUUGACUUUGGGAUGACUUCAGGCAACUGGGGCUAAUACCGGAUAGGAUCUCCUGCUGCAUGGUGGGGGUGGGAAAGUUUCGGUGGUUGGGGAUGGACUCGCGGCUUAUCCGCUUGUUUGUGGGGUAGUGGCUUACCAAGGCUUUGACGGGUAGCCGGCCGGGGAGGGUGACCGGCCACAUUGGGACUGGGCUGCGGCCCGGACUCGUACGGGAGGCAGCGGUGGGGAAUAUUGCACUAUGGGCGGAAGCCUGAUGCAGCAACGCCGCGUGCGGUAUGACGGCCUUCGGGUUGUAAACUGCUUUCGCCUGUGACGAAGCGUGAGUGACGGUAAUGGGUAAAGAAGCACCGGCUAACUACGUG
rnacentral:rRNA from 1 species